UUUUUAAAGUAAUAAUAUUAUUCUUUAUUCAAAAUGAAUUUUGCAAAGUUAUUUUUCUUUGUGUUCGCCUGUUUGUUGGUUUUGUCAACUGUUUCGGCAGCGCCUGAACCUAGAUGGAAGUUCUUUAAGAAAGUUGAAAGGGUUGGUCAGCACAUUCGUGAUGGAAUCAUCAAGGCUGGUCCCGCAGUCGCUGUGGUCGGCCAAGCUGCUACCAUCGCGGGAAAGUAGACUCUAUUACAAGAAAUAUAAAGACUAAUAUUACUUGAAUUAAGACUGAUGAGAGAAGCUUUUGGGAGAAAAUUUGUAUUAUUUUGAUUGGGAAUAAAAUUAUUUAUUGAAA